rnacentral:rRNA from 1 species
UACAGAGGGUGCGAGCGUUAAUCGGAUUUACUGGGCGUAAAGGGUGCGUAGGUGGUUGCGUAAGUGAGAUGUGAAAUCCCCGGGCUUAACCUGGGAACUGCGUCUUAUACUGCGUAGCUGGAGUACAUGAGAGGGUAGUGGAAUUUCCGGUGUAGCGGUGAAAUGCGUAGAUAUCGGAAGGAACACCAGUGGCGAAGGCGGCUACCUGGCAUGAUACUGACACUGAGGCACGAGAGCGUGGGGAGCAAACAGG